rnacentral:rRNA from 1 species
AACGAACGCUGGCGGCAGGCCUCAUACAUGCAAGUCGAGCGCGAAAGCACCUUCGGGUGUGUAUAAAGUAGCGAACGGGUGAGUAACAGGUGGAUAACCUACCUCCCGGCGGGGGACAACAGUUGGAAACGACUGCUAAUACCGCGUAAUUCUGGCGGCUGAUGGCUGCCAGGGAAAGGCGCCUUCAAGCGUCGCAGAGAGAUGAGUCCGCCCCCCAUUAGCUAGUUGGUGAGAUAACAGCUCACCAAGGCUUCGAUGGGUAGCCGAACUGAGAGGUUGAUCGGCCACACUGGGACUGAGACACGGCCCAGACACCUACGGGUGGCAGCAGUAGGGAAUAUUGGACAAUGGGCGCAAGCCUGAUCCAGCCAUGCCGCGUGGGGGAUGAAGGCCUUCGGGUCGUAAACCCCUUUUCUAAGGGAAGAACAACCAGAGGAGGAAAUGCCUUUGGCCUGACGGUACCUCAGGAAUAAGCAACGGCUAACUCCGUGCCAGCAGCCGCGGUAAUACGGAGGUUGCGAGCGUUGUUCGGAUUUACUGGGCGUAAAGGGAGCGCAGGCGGCUUGGCCAGUCAAAAGUGAAAGCCCGGGGCUUAACCCCGGAAGUGCUUUUGAUACUGCCUGGCUUGAGUACGGGAGAGGAGAGCGGAAUUCCAGGUGUAGCGGUGAAAUGCGUAGAUAUCUGGAGGAACAUCGGUGGCGAAAGCGGCUCUCUGGCCCGAUACUGACGCUGAGGCUCGAAAGCGUGGGGAGCGAACGGGAUUAGAUACCCCGGUAGUCCACGCCGUAAACGUUGUGCACUAGGUGUGGGGGGUAUCGACCCCUCCCGUGCCGAAGCUAACGCAUUAAGUGCACCGCCUGGGGAGUACGGUCGCAAGACUGAAACUCAAAGGAAUUGACGGGGGCCCGCACAAGCGGUGGAGCAUGUGGUUUAAUUCGAGGCAACGCGAAGAACCUUACCCAGACUUGACAUCCCGGGACCACUUUCCAGAGAUGGAUUGGUGCCUUCGGGAACGUAGUGACAGGCGCUGCAUGGCUGUCGUCAGCUCGUGUUCAGAAAUGUUGGGUUAAGUCCCGUAACGAGCGCAACCCUUAUCCUUAUUUGCCAGCACGUAAUGUGGGAACUCUAGGGAGACUGCCGGUGACAAACCGGAGGAAGGUGGGGACGACGUCAAGUCAUCAUGGCCCUUACGACCAGGGCUACACACGUGCUACAAUGGACGGUACAGAGGGUUGCCAAGCCGCGAGGUGGAGCUGAUCCCUUAAAACCGUUCGUAGUCCGGAUUGGAGUCUGCAACUCGACUCCAUGAAGUCGGAAUCGCUAGUAAUCGCGAAUCAGAAUGUCGCGGUGAAUACGUUCCCGGGCCUUGUACACACCGCCCGUCACACCAUGGGAGUGGAUUGCACCGUGGGUCGCUGGCCCAACCUGCAAGGGAGGGAGGCGCAUAAGGUGUGUCCGGUAAGGGGGAUGAAGUCGU